rnacentral:tRNA from 1 species
UGGGAUGCAGCUCAGUGGAAGAGCCCUUGCUUAGGAUGUAUGAGGUCAUGGGUUCAAUCCCCAGCAACACAG